ensembl:lncRNA LINC02910 long intergenic non-protein coding RNA 2910
AUAUCCUGCCUGAGCCUGGGCCGGGUGGAGGUGUCCUGCAUGGAGUCUUGUGAAAUCGCGUGGACUGCAACACCCAGCAGCGCGCCGCCCUGGGUCCUGCCACUGAGCAGCUGUUGGUAGGCUCUGCUGUGAGGUCUCCUCUUCCGGCUUUCCCACUUCCCAAGGGCCUUUGCACAAGCUUUUCCCACAGCCUGCAACACCUGCCCUUCUUCCCCACACUUGGCUUGUUCCCAGAAAUUCAUCAUCCUGUCUUAAAUGUCACACUCUUCAGAGAGGCCUUCUUUAGCCCAGAUACAUAGGUUAGGUUGGCCCAUGGGCUGGAGCGUCUGCGUCUUGGUCGGCCCGGCAGUGUACAUGUCAAGCAGCGCGCAAAGACUCCACAGCCAUUCGUAGGCACUGCUGGCCUCAUGCUCCAGACAGCCCUGGGACAAUGGGCCACCAAGGGAAAUCAAUGAUUGCGUGGGCGCAGGUGACCUCCAGCCUGCUUCAGGGCCACCCUUGUUCCCCAUGCCAACUCCCUCCUUCCUAUGGGCUCCCAAGAAAUGGGUGGCAGAGACCAGCCUGGUGAUUUACCUCCUGCCUUUCCGUGACUUCCUCCCAGUCCUGUGCAUCUCAUGUUUAAUUAUGAGGCUGUGGAAGGUGGUGAUAUUAAUUAUAGGGCUGAGGUUGUGUUACUUGGAGAAAGUCAGUGCACAUGUCAUUUGAUUUUCCUCAAGAAGGAAAACUGUAUUUUUUCCGAUCUCAAAAAUAAUUCCAGGGAAAUAAAUGUGUACAAUCACACUUUGGGGUUUAAAACUAACGAGUUUCAGUUUUAAAACAUGUUAAAAACCUUUCUAUUUGGAGAAAGCUGGAAGAAUCCACUUUGGGGAUCUGGCGGUUCUCAGGAGCUGUAUUACCUCGGGAUGGUCUCACUGGUUGGUAGCAGCUUUUGUAUGAGGAGGGGCAUGGGGUCCCGACUUAGGCAGAGAAGGCUUUGCUGAAGAGGUGCAAAGCCCAGCUUAGGGCUGGGUUUUCUACAGACCAGGAACAAAAGCAUUGCUUGGCAAGAUUUCUUCUCUGCUCAGAGAAAACACGCAGAUUCCAAAGAGUGAGAUGGAGAGAAUUUGACAUGUCUUGGUUUGAAAAUAAGUCAAAAGAAGUCUAAUAUUAACAAUAGCAAUAAUAAUAACAACCAUUAAUUGUGCCUGCGUUAGGUACCAGGCCCUAUUCUAAGUGUUGUGAGUGCCCUCUGUCAUUUAAUCUCCACGGAGUCCUGAAGGUGCUUCCCAGGUUUGUCCCCAUCACACAGAUGAGGCAAUCGUUCUGUUAAGACUGUCCUUGGGUCAUUAUGUCAGCAAUGAAAUCGGUGCUGCCAUUAC